UAAGAACUCAGCCAACACUGGGGAGCAGCAGACGCAGGAGGAGGCGCUUGGAUCGGGGCCUCAGCACCUGCAGUUCGGGAGACACAGGUCACUAGCCAGGAGCCGAGUCACAUUCCCUAUAGAAUUUCCUAUAACUGGAGCUCACAGUGUGUGGACCCAAGCUAAUCUGAAGAAAGAGACAUCAGAGGUUACUCACUGGUGUGCACUGGGCUGUGAUGAGAAGGACAGCGAGCAGAAGCACCACCUUCAUCUUUCCCUGCUCAACCUACAAGCAGAACAAGAGCAAUGGAGAAAGCAUUGACCUUAUGCUCAAGCCCCAGGGGCCAGUUACCAGUGGACAAGACUUGCUUUAUCCCGGGCGUGCCAGCUACACAGCUAUCUCCGGGGAUGAAGGGCUGGAGGGUCAAGCUACAACAUCAUGCCCCUUGACAACAUUAUGCAGGACGGGAAGGAGCCAGGCCCAGAAGAGCACCAUUGUCUGCUCCUGUGUACAUGAAUAUUCAGAAGAAGCAAACCCCUAAGGCAGAAGGUAAUGGCAGCUAGUAAGAACUCAGCCAACACUGGGGAGCAGCAGACGCAGGAGGACGCGCUUGGAUCGGGGCCUCAGCACCUGCAGUUCGGGAGACACAGGUCACUAGCCAGGAGCCGAGUCACAUUCCCUACAGAAUUUCCUAUAACUGGAGCUCACAGUGUGUGGACCCAAGCUAAUCUGAAGAAAGAGACAUCAGAGGUUACUCACUGGUGUGCACUGGGCUGUGAUGAGAAGGACAGCGAGCAGAAGCACCACCUUCAUCUUUCCC